UACGGGGGGGGCAAGCGUUGUUCGGAAUUACUGGGCGUAAAGGGCUCGUAGGCGGCCAACUAAGUCAGACGUGAAAUCCCUCGGCUUAACCGGGGAACUGCGUCUGAUACUGGAUGGCUUGAGGUUGGGAGAGGGAUGCGGAAUUCCAGGUGUAGCGGUGAAAUGCGUAGAUAUCUGGAGGAACACCGGUGGCGAAGGCGGUUCUCUGGGAAUAUCCUGACGCUGAGGAGCGAAAGUGUGGGGAGCGAACAGG
rnacentral:rRNA from 1 species